rnacentral:rRNA from 1 species
GACGAACGCUGGCGGCGUGCUUAACACAUGCAAGUCGAGCGGUAAGGCUCCUUCGGGAGUACACGAGCGGCGAACGGGUGAGUAACACGUGAGCAACCUGCCUUUCUCAUCGGAAUAAGCGUUGGAAACGACGUCUAAUGCCGAAUAUGACAACGGAUCGCAUGAUCUGUUGUGGAAAGCUCCGGCGGAGAAGGAUGGGCUCGCGGCCUAUCAGCUUGUUGGUGGGGUAACGGCCCACCAAGGCGACGACGGGUAGCCGGCCUGGGAGGGUGACCGGCCACACUGGGACUGAGACACGGCCCAGACUCCUACGGGAGGCAGCAGUGGGGAAUAUUGGACAAUGGGCGCAAGCCUGACCCAGCAACGCCGCGUGAGGAUGACGGCCUUCGGGUUGUAAACCUCUUUCAGCAGGGACGAAGCGAAAGUGACGGUACCUGCAGAAGAAGGACCGGCCAACUACGUGCCAGCAGCCGCCGUAAGAC